GGGCCCGCACAAGCGGUGGAGCAUGUGGUUUAAUUCGAUGAUACGCGAGGAACCUUACCAGGGCUUAAAUGUAGUGGGACAGGUCUAGAGAUAGACCCUUCUUCGGACUCAUUACAAGGUGCUGCAUGGUUGUCGUCAGCUCGUGCCGUGAGGUGUCAGGUUAAGUCCUAUAACGAGCGCAACCCCUAUCGUUAGUUGCCAGCGGGUAAUGCCGGGAACUCUAGCGAAACUGCCGGUGCAAACCGAGAGGAAGGUGGGGAUGACGUCAAAUCAUCACGGCCCUUACGUCCUGGGCUACACACGUGCUACAAUGGCCGGUACAGAGAGCAGCCACUACGCGAGUAGGAGCGAAUCUCAAAAAGCCUGUCCCAGUUCGGAUUGGAGUCUGGAACUCGACUCCAUGAAGUCGGAAUC
rnacentral:rRNA from 1 species